UAGGGAAUCUUCGGCAAUGGACGAAAGUCUGACCGAGCAACGCCGCGUGAGUGAAGAAGGUUUUCGGAUCGUAAAACUCUGUUGGUAGAGAAGAACGUUGGUGAGAGUGGAAAGCUCAUCAAGUGACGGUAACUACCCAGAAAGGGACGGCUAACUACGUGCCAC
rnacentral:rRNA from 1 species